rnacentral:rRNA from 1 species
GACGAACGCUGGCGGCGUGCCUAAUACAUGCAAGUAGGACGCAGUUGCGAACGGGGGAGUAACGCGUAGGUAACUACCUAUUAGAGGGGGAUAACUAUUGAAACGAUAGCUAAUACCGCCUACUUGUUGUUGGACUUGCGUUGUAUUGGCUUGUAGGUAGGGUAAUGGCCUACCUAGGCAACGAUACAUAGCCGACCUGGGAGGGUGGUCGGCCACACUGUGACUGUGACACGGCCCAGACUCCUACGGGAGGGAGCAGUAGGGAAUCUUCGGCAAUGGGGCGAACCCUGACCGAGCAACGCCGCGUGAGUGAAGAAGGUUUUCGGGUCGUAAAGCUCUGUUGUUAAGGAAGCGGUACUUAACCAGAAAGGGACGGCUAACUACGUGCCAGCAGCCGCGGUAAUAC